rnacentral:ncRNA from 2 species
GCCCGUUCUCCGGGGGGCCGUCCCUAAGCGGCUGAGAUUGGCGUGAGCGCCUGACCCGUCGAACCUGAUCCGGGUCAUGCCGGCGAAGGGAUGGGAAACGCUUAGGUCC